GGGUAUGUCCCAAAAUCAGUCUUGAAGAUGACAUGUUAGGAGUGUGUGCUGAGUUGUGUUCCCAAGACGGUCACUGUCCAGAUGAUGAGAAAUGCUGCAGCAAUGGAUGUGGACAUCAGUGUAUGGCUCCAUCUAAAGUUAAACCAGGAGUGUGUCCAAGGAAAGUACUUGGAAAAGGAUUGUGUAAAGAGUUGUGUGUCGACGACAUUGACUGUCCGAACGAUGAGAAGUGUUGCAGCACUAAAUGUGGACAUGAAUGUACACCUCCAUUUAAAGUGAGGUCUGGUG